rnacentral:rRNA from 1 species
GACGGAGGCCCCGAGCGUUGUUCGGAAUCACUGGGCUUAAAGCGCGUGUAGGCGGAGUGGCAAGUACUUUGUGAAAUCCCCGGCUUCAACCCGGGAAUGGCUUGGUAUACUGCCACCCUUGAGGCAGGUAGGGGUCACUGGAACGUUAGGUGGAGCGGUGAAAUGCGUAGAUAUCUAACGGAACGCCUGUGGCGAAAGCGGGUGACUGGGCCUGACCUGACGCUGAGACGCGAAAGCGUAGGGAGCAAAC